rfam:Schistosoma mansoni strain Puerto Rico chromosome 6, complete genome
CCAUGCUGAAGAGUCUCACAACAGGACGAAACGGCCGUCCAGUGC